UGGAUGGCGGCGUGCUAUACAUGCAGUCGAACGAACUCUGGUAUUGAUUGGUGCUUGCAUCAUGAUUUACAUUUGAGUGAGUGGCGAACUGGUGAGUAACACGUGGGAAACCUGCCCAGAAGCGGGGGAUAACACCUGGAAACAGAUGCUAAUACCGCAUAACAACUUGGACCGCAUGGUCCGAGUUUGAAAGAUGGCUUCGGCUAUCACUUUUGGAUGGUCCCGCGGCGUAUUAGCUAGAUGGUGGGGUAACGGCUCACCAUGGCAAUGAUACGUAGCCGACCUGAGAGGGUAAUCGGCCACAUUGGGACUGAGACACGGCCCAAACUCCUACGGGAGGCAGCAGUAGGGAAUCUUCCACAAUGGACGAAAGUCUGAUGGAGCAACGCCGCGUGAGUGAAGAAGGGUUUCGGCUCGUAAAACUCUGUUGUUGAAGAAGAACAUAUCUGAGAGUAACUGUUCAGGUAUUGACGGUAUUUAACCAGAAAGCCACGGCUAACUACGUGCCAGCAGCCGCGGUAAUACGUAGGUGGCAAGCGUUGUCCGGAUUUAUUGGGCGUAAAGCGAGCGCAGGCGGUUUUUUAAGUCUGAUGUGAAAGCCUUCGGCUCAACCGAAGAAGUGCAUCGGAAACUGGGAAACUUGAGUGCAGAAGAGGACAGUGGAACUCCAUGUGUAGCGGUGAAAUGCGUAGAUAUAUGGAAGAACACCAGUGGCGAAGGCGGCUGUCUGGUCUGUAACUGACGCUGAGGCUCGAAAGUAUGGGUAGCAAACAGGAUUAGAUACCCUGGUAGUCCAUACCGUAAACGAUGAAUGCUAAGUGUUGGAGGGUUUCCGCCCUUCAGUGCUGCAGCUAACGCAUUAAGCAUUCCGCCUGGGGAGUACGGCCGCAAGGCUGAAACUCAAAGGAAUUGACGGGGGCCCGCACAAGCGGUGGAGCAUGUGGUUUAAUUCGAAGCUACGCGAAGAACCUUACCAGGUCUUGACAUACUAUGCAAAUCUAAGAGAUUAGACGUUCCCUUCGGGGACAUGGAUACAGGUGGUGCAUGGUUGUCGUCAGCUCGUGUCGUGAGAUGUUGGGUUAAGUCCCGCAACGAGCGCAACCCUUAUUAUCAGUUGCCAGCAUUAAGUUGGGGCCUCUGGUGAAACUGCCGGGGACAAACCGGAGGAAAGGUGGGGAAGAAGGUCAAAACUCAAGGCCCCUUUAGACCGGGGCCAAACCCGGGGUCCAGGGAGGGGAAAACAAUUUGGAACCCCCAAGAAACUAAUCCCUUAAAACCCUUCCUUUUGGUUUGGGGGGGCCCCCCCC
rnacentral:rRNA from 1 species